UGGUCCAAUAGUAAGACUCCCCUACUUAGGUUAAAACCAAAUGGUAGAUCUAAGUACUCGAAUUUUUUUUAAUCCCCAUAUACUCAAACAUCUCAUAAAAUGUUGCUAUGCUUUAUCGAAUACAUGAUGUGACUGGCACCCGGCUAACACCACCUGCUAGGCGAACCAUACUUUCACACUUUAGCCAUUAAUUUGCAAUAUUUAGUUAAUUAUGAGUAUCCAAAUAAUUUGAUAGUUAAUUAUGAACAAUUGGUAUCUCAAAUUAUUAAAUUAAAACUCUAGCAAAAAUUCUACACUAGACCAUGGAGCAUCUAAGAGAAUUACAAAAGACAUCACAUGGAUAAAUAAUAAAGACUCUUUUGGCAGCCUCCACGAACAAUGCGGCUGCUCACCUCAAUAACUAAAUUAACUCCAACGAACUCGUCAGCUAUUAGCUCCGUCUUCACCAAUGGUAUCUGCAUAGAAAUGCAGAUAAGGAGUGAGUUAUACGUAAAUAUAACCCAGUAACAUCCUCGACCUGCCACUUUAANNNNNNNNNNNNNNNNNNNNNNNNNNNNNNNNNNNNNNNNNNNNNNNNNNNNNNAUAAUUGCAGUGAAAGAAAUAUACCAACACACCACGAGUCCACAACGGCACCACAAUGCCCCAACAUCAUGGCACACAGCCGUAUCAAACUCGACAUCAUGGCGCACAGCCGUAUCAAACUCAACAUCAUGGCGCACAGCCGUAUCAAACUCAAUAUCAUGGGGCACAGCCGUAUCAAACUCAACGUCAUGGCGCACAGCCGUAUCAAACUCAACAUCAUGGCACACAUCCGUAUCAAACUCAACAUCAUGGCGCAGAGCCGUAUCAAACUCAAUAUCAUGACCCAUAACCGUAUCAAACUCAAUAUCAUGGCGCACAACCAUAUCAAACUCAACAUCAUGGCGCACAGCCGUAUCAAACUCAAUAUGAUGGCGCACAGCCGUAUCAAACUAUAAAACUCAACCAUAUGGCGCACAGCCGUAUCACACUAUCAAAUAACUUAUAAAAUAAUAUAGUUGCAGCUAGUCUGAGACCACCAAUUCUACCAAGCGUACGCUUGUCCCAACACAUGGAUCAGGCAGAGAAAAUACACUUUCAAAAUGGGUUUCAGAGAAGCAAGUAUCAAAGCAUAAAGUCUCACUUACCUUGAUAACGACCAGUCCCGCAAUUUUGGCGACGUCCAAAACAUCGACCAAACAGCCUCCAAUGACCGCAAUCUAUGCAAAAUAUUGAUUAGCAUUAUCAAUCAUUCUAGUCGGAGUCAUUUUAUUUUAUUUUGUUUUAUUUUUUGGAGUAGGUAUAUCAUAAACAACCAAAACUCCCCAUCAAUAUGAUUAAAUCCCCGAUCUAACUAUAUUUCCGAGUUAUUCAUAACUCAAGAGUUGAAACCUAUAAUCAAGUUCUAAUCUUAGUGCUAACUGACAAAUCAAAUCUCAUAUUUCAUAAAUUUCAAGCUUCGGGUUAAAUGUCUGUAUUUUACACCUCAAAUACAUAUUUUAAUAUCACCAUCCGAACUUAAUUGGUGAAUAAAAUAAAUCCAACAUUUUUGUACUCUUGUGCCAAAAUAUAUUCCUAGCAAGUAUACAAUUUAAAAAAAAUAUAGUACAUAACGCCCAAAACAGUGGCAUUCCCUUAGAACUAAUACGUUAACCUAUAUUUCCAAUUGCUAUAAUGAUUAAUCUCAUGAUUGCAUAAUAAUUAUUCUAUCCUAAAUCAUAGCCAUUAUAAUUACAUUCAAUCGUAGUAUCAUCAUUAAACUAAUUACUUCAACUCAAAUUAAUAUGCAACUGAAGGAUAGAAUUAGAUUAACAUAUUCAUAUACCUGAUUGUUUAUAAUUCUCCACACAAGGUGUAGUGUAAGUUAAUCGAGCCCAAACAACCAUUUAUUUUCCAUCGCACUGCCGCCGUCUGCUGCUCCAAAUAGUCCCUCUUUGAGUUAAUUUUUUUUCUCCUUAUCU
rnacentral:lncRNA from 1 species